UUACGGCCAAAUCUCAUCGAAAUCUCGUUCUUGUACGAUCACCGUAGUUAAGCCACGUCGACUCUGGCCAGUACCUAGAUGGGUGACCGUUUGGGAAUGCCAGGUGCUGUAAG